UGAGGAAUAUUGGUCAAUGGGUGCAAGCCUGAACCAGCCAUCCCGCGUGAAGGACGACUGCCCUAUGGGUUGUAAACUUCUUUUGUAUAGGGAUAAACCUACCCUCGUGAGGGUAGCUAAGGUACUAUACGAAUAAGCACCGGCUAACUCCGUGCCAGCAGCCGCGGUAAUACGGAGGGUGCAAGCGUUAUCCGGAUUUAUUGGGUUUAAAGGGUCCGUAGGCGGACUUAUAAGUCAGUGGUGAAAGCCUGUCGCUUAACGAUAGAACUGCCAUUGAUACUGUAAGUCUUGAGUAUAUUUGAGGUAGCUGGAAUAAGUAGUGUAGCGGUGAAAUGCAUAGAUAUUACUUAGAACACCAAUUGCGAAGGCAGGCUACCAAGAUAUAACUGACGCUGAGGGACGAAAGCGUGGGGAGCGAACA
rnacentral:rRNA from 1 species